ACCAUGGGGAUUUCAAGUGGUUUGAGAUAUUUUAGCUAUUUUACCCUUCAGAAUUCCGUUUGCAGGUUCAACCAUUCCCUGGCUCUGGGGAUGAUAAACACACCCUAACCUUCUCUUUAUCCCCAGAGCUUGCAUUAUUUUACCCCAUGUUUAUCCCAUAUCUAUGUAGCCUCUAACCACAUCUGUGUAUGUGUCUGGAUGAAUGGUUGUGUGUGUGUGUGUGUUUCUAGCCCUAUUGGUGUAUGUGUUCAGUCAGCUCUCUGCGGCUCCUGUGACACUCCAUUGUGAGGGGAAAGUGCAACUAAACGGAUCCUACGGGUUUACACUGCAGCCCAUCAUUACGGACCUUCUUAAGGAUCCCUCCUGUGAAGUACAGUUGAUUACUGAGAAUACUGUAAGGGCUAUAUAUGAGAAGGGGAAUGUGCCUGCCUACUUGUCAUCACCAGUCCUUAAAGCCACGAUGCACCAUUUCACUUUGAGCAACUGCCCCAACUCCGUCACACUGGAUGUAGAUUGCCCACACAGACAAAAGGUCCCAAGAACAGUACACUGCCAUUGUUCAGUCCAGUCCAUAACCUCCACUUCCACACCGCUAACCUCAGUAUCGAAGGGUAAGUCGAGGAUGGACAAGGACUGCACCUAUUUUAUCCACACGUGUAUCAUAGUCAAUGCCUUAUCAAAUGUCUCAUCUUUCAGCAGACAACACCAACAGUGUUGUCUCUGGUGUUGCUAUUGGUCUUGGUCUUGGUCUUGUUGGUGUCGCUGCCAUUGCCAUUGCCAUCACCUGGUUCAUCUUCAAACACAGGUAUGUUAGGAUGAAACAUUCUCUCCGGUGUUCACAGGGAGAGUCUAAUUUUAUGUCAUUGAAUUGUUUGUUAAUUGUUAUUGUGUUUCCCUCGCUUUGUUAUUGCUACCUACUAACAGCAAGAAGAGGAAUGAUGUCUUCAUGAAGAAAAACAACAGAGGCACAUCAGCAAGCAGCUCCACUGAUGAACUUGGUGCUGCAAACAUGAUGCUCAGACACGACGAUCAAGCCUGACCUGCAGUGAUGUUAAUGCAUUGUAAUGCACAGUCCUAGCUCUGUAAAUGGGAAACAAAUGUAUGGCUCGGACCAAGCAAUACACUAUUGAACACAUUACUUCAAGAGCACUGAAGGAAAGGGUGUAAUUUGAUUGGCUGUCACACUCAAAUAUCAACAAAAUUGUGCCAGAAUUGCAGACUGUUCCUUUAAAGCAGCAAUAUGGAGUUCUGUUCCAAAACUAGCAAGCUAACUACCCAAAAGUUAUGCAAAAACCUUGCAAACACCACCAACAGCCCAGCUGACACUGAUAGAAGCUUGCCAACACACUAAUUGGUGCCUUUUGGCAGUAUAGCUGGCAGUGUCAUGCUGUGAAAGCUUUUCUUCCAUUUCUGCAGGGUGUUCCAGCCCGGUAAAAAGAACUACAUAGGGCAUAUCCUGGAUGGCUAGUGGGGAAGACACAGGUGUUUAUCUGUCCUUCACAUGACCAUAUGCAAUCAAAAUUAAUUUGAGGAUGGUACGAAAACUAGUUGCCUAUAAAACCAUACCUCAAAAAGUGUCAAAUUGUUGCAUAGUGUUACUUUAACACGUACGGUAUGUGGUAAUGGUUAAAAUGAAGUGGUACUGUAAUGGCAAGGUAAUGUUAUGCUAUUCUGAGGUGGAGGUCUCCAAGGAUUGCUAUAACAAGCAGUCAUCUGUCCGUUUUUGCCUCGAUGUUCUGGUGCAAACUGUUAUACAUACUAGUCAGCAUUUCCUGUUUCUGGAAGGAUACAAAUCUGAAUAGAAUUUUAGGAAGAUCGUUUACAUAAGGGGGGGACAAAGGCUUACCCCAAAUGGUAAGAAUAUGUGUUUAUUCCACACAGCUGGGGUCUGCUACCUAAGGUGCUAAAGAGCAUUGGGACACACACAAACACACACCCACAUAAACACACACACACUAUUUAAUGUUAUGACUCCUGUUUCGGGUUUGUAAGAUUGUUGUCCUCCUGUGUGUCUGUCCUUCCUAUCAAGAGCUGUGAGAUAUAUUUAAGUGUUAAAUAUAUAUUCAAAUAUUAUAUAUUUUUUGAUAUAAUAUUUCGAGUAUAUUUGUAUUUUGUAUGAUUCUAUUUUGUUAUUAAAUAAUUCAUUUAAAUAUUUAAGGACUCAUUGUUUUUUUUUAUGGAGUGCCAAGUGCACUGAGAAUGAGGAGAGUAAACACUGUCAACAAAGACUGUAAACACAAUCAAUACAUACGUCUGUAGAAAGUAUGCAACAUAUCAAAAAACAUGUCCUCUCCGACGUUGCAAACCCUCUCCGAGCACCUCUCCGUGGCCUGACGUGCACCUCCCAAAUUUUGCAACUAUCCAACUCCGUCAAUCCGUCAAUACAUCAGUAUCAAUGCUUUACAACACCCACAACCGUCGGAGAACCAUAAAUGAAAACGAGUCCGUCGAGGCAACUGCGUGACCACGGAGUAACGGAGUCGUAGGAGUAUAUUUCGGCCUUAAGAUGUAGCCUCUAAGAUAUGCUAAGUCAUUCACAGAGCAUAAAAGGGCAACUGCACUUCCUCUUGGCCCAUGACGUGGAAUAUGAUCGACGUUCAGCAAUGCCACUACCAGCCUGGUGGGGAAAAUAAGGUGUGGUCUCCUUACUUGGGUUAGUGCUUUACUGUCAUCAUCUCACUGAGUCGUGCAAUGUGUACAAAACCAUGCAACCCAAUGCUACAGAAAGCUUUUGAAAUGUUGCCUUUUCUUCUUAACAGUCACAUCCAUAUGACUCAUAUUGUCUGUAGAUCCAUCCACCACCUGAUCAACACAUGAAUGAUAUGUGGUUAGAAUGUGGUCAGAAUUAUUUUUCAACAAAACCCAGUGAGAUUAUUAUAUGAGUACUUGCAUGUGAGAGUGAGAGGAUUGGCCACUGUGGGAAUUCCCCAACCAGUAGCACAAGGAAUUUAGCACCUCUCCUGUGUAUAACUAAACAAAAUGGCCUUGUGAGGAGACAGGAUCCCAACAUGUUAAUUUGAUAAAUAUGACUUAAUCAGCCUCCUAAUCCUUGCACUUACUGUACAACAUGACGGGUGCAAGCCACAGCAACCAUAACACACUUCAAUGGCCCACUUGUUUGGUUUGCCUCAAUGGUCGAUUACUUGGAACACAUGCCGUGGUCUACCCAGAGUCCUUAUUGAGUGUUUAAAAAUGUGGUGUGGGCUCACCUCAGAGUAUUAUAUGACAUUACACAAACACACCACAGCACCUGCUCAUGUAUAACUGUACCCCUCACUCCCCUCUCUAUUCUGGAAUCUUUGUAGUAUGUGGUAGGAAUGAUGCUAGUAAUUCAGCUUUUUCACGACUUUUUGCAUAGCAGUAACAGAUAAUACAUGAAGUGAUUUAACUGCAUAAACCGCAUGCAGUAAUGUUGCUUCUAGAGCAUGCAAGGGAGGGGUGUAUUUGACUAUUUCGCCCGGAUCAAAGAUAACAUACGUGAUAUUGUGAUUCUAUGUAAUAAACACUUACAAUUUACAUCGUCUGAUCCA
ensembl:lncRNA